rnacentral:tRNA from 4 species
GGCCUGGUAGCCAAGUGGUAAGGCAGAGAUCUGCAAAAUCUCUAUGCGGCGGUUCAAUUCCGCCCCAGGCCUCAA